rnacentral:rRNA from 1 species
GACGAACGCUGGCGGCGUGCUUAACACAUGCAAGUCGAACGGAAAGGCCUGCUUUCCCUUGUGGAUUGCGGGUACUCGAGUGGCGAACGGGUGAGUAACACGUGAGUGAUCUGCCCCCAACUUGGGUAUAAGCCUGGGAAACUGGGUCUAAUUCCCGAUAGGACUGCAGGGUGGUGCCUGUGUUGGAAAACGAUUUUCUAGUGGUUGGGGAUGAGCUCGCGGCCUAUCAGCUUGUUGGUGGGGUAAUGGCCUACCAAGGCGGCGACGGGUAGCCGGCGUGUGAGGGGGGACAGCCACAUUGGGACUGGGAUACGGCCCAGACGCGUACGGGAGGCAGCAGUUGUGAAUAUUGGACAAUGAGCGGAAGCCUGAUGCAGCGACGCCGCGUGGAGGAUGACGGCCUUCGGGUUGUAAACUCCUUUCGACCGCGAGGAAGCCACCUGGUUGGAAGGGUGGUGACGGUAGUGGUAGAAGAAGCACCGGCUAACUACGUG